UAAUACGUAGGGGGCAAGCGUUGUCCGGAAUCAUUGGGCGUAAAGAGCGCGUAGGCGGCCCGACAAGUCCGCUGUGAAAGUCAAGGGCUCAACCCUUGAAUGCCGGUGGAUACUGUCGGGCUAGAGUCCGGAAGAGGCGAGUGGAAUUCCUGGUGUAGCGGUGAAAUGCGCAGAUAUCAGGAGGAACACCGAUGGCGAAGGCAGCUCGCUGGGACGGUACUGACGCUGAGGCGCGAAAGCGUGGGGAGCAAACAGGAUUAGAUACCCUGGUAGUCCACGCCGUAAACGAUGGGCACUAGGUGUGGGGGGUGUCGACUCCCCCCGUGCCGCAGCUAACGCAUUAAGUGCCCCGCCUGGGGAGUACGGCCGCAAGGCUA
rnacentral:rRNA from 1 species